UUUGUGGGGUGCUCGAGUGGCGAACGGGUGAGUAACACGUGAGUAACCUGCCCUUGACUUUGGGGUAACUUCAGGAAACUGGGGCUAAUACCGGAUAGGAGCUCCUGCUGCAUGGUGGGGGUUGGAAAGUUUCGGCGGUUGGGGAUGGACUCGCGGCUUAUCAGCUUGUUGGUGGGGUAGUGGCUUACCAAGGCUUUGACGGGUAGCCGGCCUGAGAGGGUGACCGGCCACAUUGGGACUGAGAUACGGCCCAG
rnacentral:rRNA from 1 species